rnacentral:rRNA from 1 species
GCACAAGCGGUGGAGCAUGUGGAUUAAUUCGAUGCAACGCGAAGAACCUUACCUGGGUUUGACAUGCACAGGACGCCGGUAGAGAUAUCGGUUCCCUUGUGGUCUGUGUGCAGGUGGUGCAUGGCUGUCGUCAGCUCGUGUCGUGAGAUGUUGGGUUAAGUCCCGCAACGAGCGCAACCCUUGUCUCAUGUUGCCAGCGCGUUAUGGCGGGGACUCGUGAGAGACUGCCGGGGUCAACUCGGAGGAAGGUGGGGAUGACGUCAAGUCAUCAUGCCCCUUAUGUCCAGGGCUUCACACAUGCUACAAUGGCCGGUACAAAGGGCUGCGAUGCCGUGAGGCUUAGCGAAUCCUUUAAAGCCGGUCUCAGUUCGGAUCGGGGUCUGCAACUCGACCCCGUGAAGUCGGAGUCGCUAGUAAUCGCAGAUCAGCAACGCUGCGGUGAAUACGUUCCCGGGC